AGUGAACGCUGGCGGUAGGCCUAACACAUGCCAGUCGAACGGCAGCACAGUAAGAGCUUGCUCUUACGGGUGGCGAGUGGCGGACGGGUGAGGAAUACAUCGGAAUCUACUUUUUCGUGGGGGAUAACGUAGGGAAACUUACGCUAAUACCGCAUACGACCUACGGGUGAAAGCAGGGGAUCUUCGGACCUUGCGCGAUUGAAUGAGCCGAUGUCGGAUUAGCUAGUUGGCGGGGUAAAGGCCCACCAAGGCGACGAUCCGUAGCUGGUCUGAGAGGAUGGUCGGGAGCACUGGAAGGGAGACGCGGACGGGACGCAUACGGGAGGCAGCAGUAGGGAAUGGGAGGCAAUGGGCGAAAGGCUGAAGGAGCGAUGCGGCGUGAGAGAUGAAGACCUUGGGAUCGUAAAACUCUGUUGUUAGGGAAGAAAAAAUGUGUAAGGAGCUAUGGACGUCUUGACGGUACGUAAGAAAUAAGCAACGGCGAACUAAGUG
rnacentral:rRNA from 1 species